rnacentral:lncRNA from 1 species
UCCAGAUUUUAAUUCCUUAGUGGAGUGAGGCGUAAAUUGUGCCUUAUUUUAAAGAUAAGUCUUGGUGACUUUUUUUCUGUAGCAUUGCUGAAACAUUAUUGUAUUUUGUUGCCUGAUUUUUGGGGCAUUAUAGUGCAACCGAGCUUUAUCCAUUUUAAUGGAUGCUCAACAGGGGAAUAGGCGUUAGAAGUGGUCGCUGAACCUCUGGGGCUUCGGCCGAAAAAAUCUUGUGUUCAUUUACAAGUUUCUGUACUUUAUUUUACUGUUUGUUGUGUUUGUUUGAAUCUUGAUUAAUUCUUGGACGCUUCUCGACUUUUCAUACAUGAUGGAGGUUGAAGCAGAAUAAAUGGUCCCCUAUCAAUAUCGAUGUUUUAAUAUCAAAACUUAAAAAAUUUAGAGCUUGUAUAAUUCUGUGGCCUUUUUUUAUCAGAGAUAUUCUUCUUAUUUUUGGUAUUUAUAGCUUGAAAUCCGACAAAAUAUUCUUUUAAACUGUAGCCAUUUAUAAGGUUCUUUCACUCUAAAGAGUCAACCCUAGAUAUUCUUUCAAACUGAG